UACGUAGGGGGCGAACGUUGUCCGGAUUUACUGGGUGUAAAGGGUGCUCAGGCGGUCUUGUAAGUCAGAGGUGAAAUCUCAAGGCUUAACCUUGAAACUGCCUUUGAUACUGCUGGGCUUGAGUACGGAAGAGGCGGAUGGAAUUUCUGGUGUAGCAGUGAAAUGCGUAGAUAUCAGGAGGAACACCGGUGGAGAAGGCGGUCCGCUGGUCCGUUACUGACGCUAAAGCAAGAAAGCGUGGGGAGCAAACAGG
rnacentral:rRNA from 1 species